GAUGAACGCUGGCGGCGUGCUUAACACAUGCAAGUCGAACGGAAAGGCCCAGCUUUCGUGGGGUGUUCGUGUCGCACGGGUGAGUGAAACAUGAGUAUCAUCCGCUUUAGACUUUGGUAUAACUUGAGGACAGUGGGGAUAAUACCGGAGAGGAGCUCCCGCUGCAGGGUGGGGGUUGGAGAGUUUUGGCGGUUGGGGAUGGACUCGCGGCUUAUCAGCUUGUUGGUGGGGUAGUGGCUUACCAAGGCUUUGACGGGUAGCCGGCCUGAGAGGGUGACCGGCCACACUGGGACUGAGAGACGGCCCAGACUCCUACGGGAGGCAGCAGUGGGGAAUAUUGCACAAUGGGCGGAAGCCUGAUGCAGCAACGCCGCGUGCGGGAUGACGGCCUUCGGGUUGUAAACCGCUUUCGGCUGUGACGAAGCGUGAGUGACGGUAAUGGGAGAAGAAGCACCGGCUAACUACGUG
rnacentral:rRNA from 1 species